GUUUGGGCCGAGCGGCCGCUGCAGCUGCGGCCUCGGUUUCGAGCCAUGGAUCGGUGGUCAGUCCGGAGACGCCGCUGCCGCUCGGCUCGGCUGCCCGCAUG
rnacentral:tRNA from 1 species